rnacentral:lncRNA from 1 species
UAGGCAGAGCUGGUUUCAGGAUGUCUGGUCCUCUCUGGGUCUCCCUGCGGUGGAUGCUCUUCCUCUAAACUCUGUGGAGGACCUACCCCAGGAUCCAAAGGCCUCUAUGCAGGAAUGGCCCCGUCUAGUGUCCCCACUGCUCUGUGUGCUUGGUGCAUCCAUUGCAUUCUGGGGUAGCACAGUCCUCAGAGUGUUUGUCUAUUUCCUGUCCUUUGUUCUUGCUCCACUGCACAGGGUGAGUGAUCUGUUCAUCCUUCAUCAAGCCCUUUCAUACCUGCUCCAUAUAAAGAUGUGCUAGGGUUGGUAAGAGGUGAUUCUAGAGAGAUGUUUUUUUUUACCUUGAGGUGAAUGCUUGUCUUAAGAAAUUCUUACUGAGGUCUCUUAAUAUCAGAACAUUUCUUUCUCAUUUGAAUGUACAGUUUUCUUUAUAAUGAUUUUAAUCUCUUGUGAUUAUUUGUCUUUGUCCAGGUACUUCGAUUACAGAUGACAGAGAGAUCACUGAGCCACAUGUUGAACCUGGUAUAAAUGUCUUAUUUUACAUCAUUGAUACAUUUUUGAGAUUCUAGUUGGCUCACAAUACCUGUGAUUUAAAAAAAAAAAUUGUUUCUGUCAAACCAGGCACCCCAGAAAGUUUCACAAAAAUCAGAAAAUGGUUUUCGUGCCAGUGAUUGUCACAGUAAGGUUAAAGAAUGUAACGGCAGCCCUUUACUGUCAGAAUCAGUGCUACAGGACGUCAGAGAUGAUCUGCAGCUCCACUUUAGUCUGUCCACACUGCUUACUUUUACCAUGAUGCUCAGUGUCCCUUCCCUAAUCCACUGGAAGCACAAUCUCAGGUAAUAGUCAUUUAAGAUAUGUUCAUUUGAUUUGUUUUUUUUGUUGUUGUUUUUAAUUUCUCACGCAAGUUACUAAACUGCCUGAGAGUGAAGAGAAAGUACUCUACAGCCUCUAAGAGUGAUUUUAAUUGGCAUACGUUUGUGUCUUGUUCAGAUAUUGGAUUCAUCUGGAUCCUGACCCCUGCUGGCCUCACAUUGUACCUCUGCUCAUCAGCUCUGUACUGCUCAUCAGCUGUAACACAGAUAAUCUUCUACGCAGGUUUGUGUGCAUUUCUUACUAAAUUAGUCAUGUCAUUUUACAUCAUUUCAAAUAGUCA